rnacentral:tRNA from 1 species
GUAAAGUGGCCGAGAGCUUAGGUGGCGGAUUGUAAAUUCGUUAAUGGGGGUUUAAAUCCUCCUUU